rnacentral:sRNA from 1 species
CUGGAACAACGGCUGAAGUUGAUGGCAAGUGACAUGAUCGAAUCUUGUGUCAAAAGAACCAGGAUUGCAUUUGAAGUUAAGCUGCAAAAAACCAGUCGAUCAACAGAUUUUCGAGUCCCACAGUCAAUAUGCACCAUGUUUAAUGUUAUGGUUGAUGCCAAAGCUCAAUCAACAAAACUUUGCAGCAUGGAAAUGGGCCAAGAGGUAAAAAAAAAAAAAAAAAAUACAGAUUUUUUUUCCCUCUUCAUUGAUCAUGUAGAAGAAAACUUCACAAAUUCCUUCCAUCUACCCUAGUCUGCUAGUUUCAGAAAUACACUCUAACAUUUGUGGAUUAAGCCAUGGAUGAGUGUUCAGUAUCUGUUUGUCAAGUAGAUUUCUAAGGCAUGUGCUGAUGAGAAUGUCAGUCACUUGGAAGUGAUUCUUGGCUGGAGUUGGGGUGGCCAUAAAGUUCCUCUAAGCUAAAUGAAGUUUGACGACCUUAUUUAUUAGGCUGGUGUCUCGAACAGAUCUGUGUUUGCCAGAAUGAAAGUCAUUUUCACAUUUGAAGUGCAUUUUAUCACUUUGAACAUCUGGACAGCAAGAGAGGCCUUUCUUGCAUCAAACAACUUCCAGGAUGUAUAAUGUUAGAUCACCCUGCUACCCAAUCCCCAGCCAGCAGGUUCUGAAUUUC